UGGACGCAAAUUAACAAUCUGAUAGAGAUAAACAAAACUUUUAUGACAUCAGACAUCCAAAACACGGCACUGUUUGUGUACAUACUAAGUAUUCCAAGUGCGUACAAUACUUAAAAUGACUGGCUUUAUUUUCGUAAUUUUGGGUAUAAAACAAGGUUUUAAAAUCCACUUUUUUCUAGUAAAGUGAGUAUUUCGGGUUGAUUUUCAAUUUGGAGUAGAAAUUUGUUGAUAAAUUUUCCGAGCAUCCGGACAAUGAUGAAAAUUAUGAUCGCUGUUGUCAUCGCGUACUGUGGGGCAAGUGCAAACGAUACUACCGGAGUAAGUGUAAACGCUCCUUUUUUGUAAUAUAUCGCUCUUUUCAGAACCCCGUUUCCAUUAUGGUUCAAAAUUAUAUAAGGAAGACCAGGAGGGCUCAAUAUUCGGAAGAGGAUAUGAGGAAUGCUCUUAAUUCCAUGCAAACUGAAGGCCUCUCAUCAAAAGCAGCUGCCACAAAAUUUGGAAUUCCAAAAAGUAGUUAGACGAUGAGCCGGAAGUGCGUAUACGCGCCUCAUGUUGGUUGCGAAUAUUGAAUUACGGUGGUACAAUCUACAUGGAGGCGGUCAACGACCACUUUCGGGAACUGAAUAUUUCACCCACCAUUAUUCCAUCAUUACCAUCUGCCACACGAACAUCUGGGCCACUAGCAAUACUAUCAUCUGCGUCACAUGCAAUACUAACAUCUGCGCCAACACCAUCUUCUGCACCACCAACAUGUGCACCGUCAUCGGCAUCACCAGCACCAUCUCGUUCGGAGUCAAAGACACCAUUAGAAAAUUCAACUCCCGAAUCUCAACUCAUGACGCCACCAAAGGAUGAUGACCCAUUCGUCGAAUCAGGUUCAGCUACGAAGUGGCGUCGGUGUGGACGAUGUUUGGCAUUGUUUGAGGACAUACACAAUGAACGCCCAAUGCGUUGUUAAGUGCGAGGAGUGCAAAGGAAUGUUCACGAACUCGUAUACGCUUGCCCGCCACCAAGAACAAAUACAUUCCGCAAAAAAACACGUCAACAAUUGUCAAAACGGUGGCGACAGACAGGAGAUUGAGCGAUAAUAUUUCGAGAGAAUCGCCAAAUCCGGUCAAAAAUGAAGAAAUGGCCAUUUCUCAUCAUUUAGGAAGGCAAAGUUAAUUUUGUUAAAUGAUUUUCUUACAUUUUUUUUUAAUUUUACAGUUAACUUUGUUAACUUUGUGAGAACAUAGAAUCAUAGUAACAUAGAAAUAUGAAAUAGAAAAAAAUUAUGUGAAAUCUUAUUUCGACACAUGCAGGAAUCAAUAUUAUCAUUUUUCAUUUUAUUUCAAUUAAUAUUAUGU